AGUUGUGUGAUAAGCACAAAGCGAAUUAUUGUUUUGCCUUUUACUAAAGAACACCAUGCUUGUCCCUAAAAACAGCAUAUAUUAAUUUUUGAAAGGAGGUUUUUUACAAAGGAGCCU